rnacentral:rRNA from 1 species
GUUAACGCUGGCGGCGUGCCUAACACAUGCAAGUCGAGCGAAGAGUACCAGAAUAUCGGGCUCUUAGCGGCAGACGGGUGAGUAACACGUAAACUAUCUGCCCUCGAAUGGGAGACAACCUGGCGAAAGCCUGGCUAAUACCCCAUACAAUCCUCAUGGAGCAUUCCGAGGGGAUGAAAGGCUCGCAAGGGUCGUUCGAGGAGGAGUUUGCGGCCUAUCAGCUAGUUGGCGGUGUAACGGACCACCAAGGCUAUGACGGGUAGCCGAGCUAAAAGGAUGACCGGCCACAAGGGCACUGAGACACGGGCCCUACUCCGACGGGAGGCAGCAGUGGGGAAGUUUGGACAAUGGACGAAAGUCUGAUCCAGCGACGCCGCGUGAAGGACGAAGG